rnacentral:ncRNA from 1 species
UACCUGCAGCCACAAGAUGCGGAUAUUAUUGCGGCAUUCAAGGCGAAAGGUAAUCUUAGACCUUCCUGCUAGGGAAUUGUUUAGAUUUCUUUGAAAUACCACUCUUAUUAUUAUAAAUAACUAAUAUUCUUUAAAAAAGAAUAAACCAUGUAUGGUUGGUAGUUUGACUGGGGCGGUCACCUCCCAAAGAGUAACGGAGGUGUACAAAGGUAAGCUCAAAUUGGCAAAACAUCAAUUGUAGAAUGUAAUGGUAUAAUGAAGAAAAGGCAGCUACAGAACGCCUUAGAUCAAAUCAAUUGUGUUGCAGGACGGCAGGAAAGAUUGUAUGAA